ensembl:misc_RNA Metazoa_SRP Metazoan signal recognition particle RNA
GCCGGGUGCGGUGGCGCGUGCCUGUAAUCCAAGCUACCAGGAGGCUGAGGCUGGCGGAUCGUUUGAGCUCAGGAGCUCUGAGCUGCAGCGGACUAUGCCGAUCGGGUGUCCGCACUAAGUUCGGUAUCGAUAUGGUGCUCCUGGGGGAGCUCGGGACCACCAGGUCGCCUAAGGAGGGGUGCACCGGCCCAGGUCGGAAACGGAGCAGGUCAAAGCCCCCGUGCCGCUCAGUAGUGGGAUCGCGCCUGUGAAUAGACGCUGUAGUGCAGCCUGAGUAAUACAGCGGGACCCAGUCUUUU